GACGAACGCUGGCGGCGUGCUUAACACAUGCAAGUCGAGCGAGGCCCUCUCUUCGGAGGGGUGUUCUAGCGGCGAACGGGUGAGUAACACGUGGGCAACCUGCCCUCAGCUCUGGGAUAACUCCAAGAAAUUGGGGCUAAUACCGGAUAUGACUGCUGACCGCAUGGUCUGGUGGUGGAAAGAUUUAUCGGCUGGGGAUGGGCCCGCGGCCUAUCAGCUUGUUGGGGGGUAGUGGCCUACCAAGGCGACGACGGGUAGCCGGCCUGAGAGGGUGACCGGCCACACUGGGACUGAGACACGGCCCAGACUCCUACGGGAGGCAGCAGUGGGGAAUAUUGCGCAAUGGGCGGAAGCCUGACGCAGCGACGCCGCGUGGGGA
rnacentral:rRNA from 1 species